GACGAACCGAGCGAACGUUGUUCGGAAUCACUGGGCUUAAAGGGCGCGUAAGCGGGCUGUCAAGUCUGGGGUGAAAUCCCGCGGCUCAACCGCGGAACUGCCUCAGAUACUGACGGUCUCGAGGGGGGUAGGGGCGAGCGGAACUGAUGGUGGAGCGGUGAAAUGCGUUGAUAUCAUCAGGAACUCCGGUGGCGAAGGCGGCUCGCUGGACCUCUUCUGACGCUGAGGCGCGAAAGCCAGGGGAGCGAACGGG
rnacentral:rRNA from 1 species